CCUACGGGGGGCUGCAGUGAGGAAUAUUGGGCAAUGGACGAGAGCCUGAACCAGCAAAGUCGCGUGAAGGAUGACUGCCCUAUGGUUUUUAAACUCUUUUUAUAUGGGAGUAAAAUAUUCCGUGUCUGUUGUAUUGUCUGUAGCAUACUACUUAGGAUCGGCCAACUCCGUGCCAGCAGCGGCGGUAAUACGGAGGGUCAGAGCGUUAUCCGGAUUUAUUGGGUUUAAAGGGAGCGUAGGUGGAUUGUCAAGUAAGUUGUGAAAGUUUGCGGCUCAACCGUAAAAUUGCAUUUGAAACUGGCAUUCUUGAGUACAGGAGAGGUGAGCGGAAUUCAUGGUGUAGCGGUGAAAUGCUUAGAUAUCACGAAGAACACCGAUGGCGAAGGCGGCUGACUGGACUGCAACUGACAGUGAGGCGCGAAAGUGUGGGGAUCAAACAGGAUUAGAUACCCCAGUAGUC
rnacentral:rRNA from 1 species